rnacentral:rRNA from 1 species
UAGGGAAUCUUCGGCAAUGGGGGGAACCCUGACCGAGCAACGCCGCGUGAGUGAAGAAGGUUUUCGGAUCGUAAAGCUCUGUUGUUAAGGAAGAACGAGUGUGAGAAUGGAAAGUUCAUACUGUGACGGUACUUAACCAGAAAGGGACGGCUAACUACGUGCCAGCAGCCGCGGUAAUACGUAGGUCCCGAGCGUUGUCCAGAUUUAUUGGGCGUAAAGCGAGCGCAGGCGGUUAGAUAAGUCUGAAGUUAAAGGCAGUGGCUCAACCAUUGUAGGCUUUGGAAACUGUUUAACUUGAGUGCAGAAGGGGAGGGUGGAAUUCCAUGUGUAGCGGUGAAAUGCGUAGAUAUAUGGAGGAACACCGGUGGCGAAAGCGGCUCUCUGGUCUGUAACUGACGCUGAGGCUCGAAAGCGUGGGGAGCGAACAGG